rnacentral:rRNA from 1 species
GACGGAGGAUGCAAGCGUUAUCCGGAAUUAUUGGGCGUAAAGCGUCCGCAGGUGGCUGUUCAAGUCUGCUGUCAAAGCGCAGAGCUUAACUCUGUACAGGCGGUGGAAACUGAAGAGCUAGAGUAUGGUAGGGGUAGAGGGAAUUCCCGGUGUAGCGGUGAAAUGCGUAGAUAUCAGGAAGAACACCUAUGGCGAAGGCAGCACUCUGGGACGGUACUGACGCUGAGACGCGAAAGCGUGGGGAGCGAACAGG